rnacentral:rRNA from 1 species
AGUGAACGCUGGCGGUAUGCCUAACACAUGCAAGUCGAACGGCAGCACAGUAAGAGCUUGCUCUUACGGGUGGCGAGUGGCGGACGGGUGAGGAAUACAUCGGAAUCUACUUUUUCGUGGGGGAUAACGUAGGGAAACUUACGCUAAUACCGCAUACGACCUACCGGUGAAAGCAGGGGAUCUUCGGACCUUGCGCGAUUGAAUGAGCCGAUGUCGGAUUAGCUAGUUGGCGGGGUAAAGGCCCACCAAGGCGACGAUCCGUAGCUGGUCUGAGAGGAUGAUCAGCCACACUGGAACUGAGACACGGUCCAGACUCCUACGGGAGGCAGCAGUGGGGAAUAUUGGACAAUGGGCGCAAGCCUGAUCCAGCCAUGCCGCGUGGGUGAAGAAGGCCUUCGGGUUGUAAAGCCCUUUUGUUGGGAAAGAAAAGCAGCAGGUUAAUACCCCGCUGUUCUGACGGUACCCAAAGAAUAAGCACCGGCUAACUUCGUG